GGGAACGUGACCAUCCACCUCCUUUCUCCUUCGAUUUCCAUCGCCUUUUUUGCUAAGACGUGGGCCGCAUUGUUCUUCUCCCUACAGAUGUGGUUAAUUGCUAUGACAUUCUUCUCUUCCACCAACUUGGAUACUUCUUCCACCAGCCAACAAAUCUCAGUUAGGUUAGUAUCUUUCUUGAUGAGACGAAGUGCUUCCAAAGAAUCAGAUUCCAAGUAAAGAGGCCAGCAAGUGUUCAUGUCAAUUGAAUGAAGACCUUAAAUCGCCAUUAAUUCAAGAAAUUUUAUUGAUCUGUUAGCUCUUGUUUCACAACAUCUUGCAAGAAUCGCUUCACCUCUCCAAUUUCGCACGAUCCAACCCAAGCCUUCAACACUAUGAUGUUCAUUCCAGGCAGCAUCAGUGUUGAUUUUCCAGAAAUUCGUAGGCGGAGGACUCCAGCCAGUGAUUAUUCUGUUUCUUUCCUCAUUUGAUUCAAUGCGGAUCUGGAAAGGUAUUGAAAUUGAGCAAAAAACAAUUGGAAUGAAAUGAAGUAAAAUCCGGCGACCGAUUUAGUAGAAUACUUUAAGGAGUAAAUUAGGAGAUUGAUUGUGAGAAUAA